CAUAUCAAUAAGCGGAGGAAAAGAAACCAACAGGGAUUGCCCUAGUAACGGCGAGUGAAGCGGCAACAGCUCAAAUUUGAAAGCUAGCCUUCGGGUUCGCAUUGUAAUUUGUAGAGGAUGAUUUGGGGAAGCCGCCUGUCUAAGUUCCUUGGAACAGGACGUCAUAGAGGGUGAGAAUCCCGUAUGUGACAGGAAAUGGCACCCUAUGUAAAUCUCCUUCGACGAGUCGAGUUGUUUGGGAAUGCAGCUCUAAAUGGGAGGUAAAUUUCUUCUAAAGCUAAAUAUUGGCGAGAGACCGAUAGCGCACAAGUAGAGUGAUCGAAAGAUGAAAAGCACUUUGGAAAGAGAGUUAAAAAGCACGUGAAAUUGUUGAAAGGGAAGCGCUUGCAAUCAGACUUGUUUAAACUGUUCGGCCGGUCUUCUGACCGGUUUACUCGGUUUGGACAGGCCAGCAUCAGUUUCGGCGGCCGGAUAAAGGCUCUGGGAAUGUGGCCUCCACUUCGGUGGAGGUGUUAUAGCCCAGGGUGUAAUACGGCCAGCCGGGACUGAGGUCCGCGCUUCGGCUAGGAUGCUGGCGUAAUGGUUGUAAGCGACCCGUCUUGAAACACGGACCAAGGAGUCUAACAUCUAUGCGAGUGUUCGGGUGUCAAACCCCUGCGCGUAAUGAAAGUGAACGGAGGUGGGAACCCGCAAGGGUGCACCAUCGACCGAUCCUGAUGUCUUCGGAUGGAUUUGAGUAAGAGCAUAGCUGUUGGGACCCGAAAGAUGGUGAACUAUGCCUGAAUAGGGUGAAGCCAGAGGAAACUCUGGUGGAGGCUCGCAGCGGUUCUGACGUGCAAAUCGAUCGUCAAAUUUGGGUAUAGGGGCGAAAGACUAAUCGAACCAUCUAGUAGCUGGUUCCUGCCG
rnacentral:rRNA from 1 species